rnacentral:rRNA from 1 species
UACGGAGGAUGCAAGCGUUAUCCGGAUUUAUUGGGUUUAAAGGGUGCGCAGGCGGCGCGCUAAGUCAGCGGUGAAAUACCACGGCUCAACCGUGGGGCUGCCGUUGAUACUGGCGUGCUUGAGUACGAGCGGCGCCGGCGGAAUGUGUCAUGUAGCGGUGAAAUGCAUAGAGAUGACACAGAACACCGAUCGCGAAGGCAGCUGGCGAGGACGGUACUGACGCUGAGGCACGAAAGCGUGGGGAU